ensembl:ncRNA R13.8 ncRNA
AAGUAAAAGGAAAAUGGAAAAUAAGGAGGUAUUAGUAGAUAUCUAGAUGUGUUUGUACACACCUUCCAAAUGUUGCUUCUUGUUUUUCAGAUCCCCCUCAAACAUCUGAAUAAAAAAGGGAAAACUGCUGUAACUG